AUAUGAUUUAGAUUUAAUCUGAAUUUUUUCAUAUAUGAUAUGUUUUGAUUUGAUGCCUAGUAGUCAAGUAAUCGGAUUGGACAUUCUUGGCCGUUCGGUCAUAGAAGAAAGUAAGAUUUUAAGACCCUCUCCUCUCAUUUCAUGGGGAUCUCUUAUGACAUGUAGGAGUGCUGUUUAUUCAUGAAGAUGAACCACGAAAUGAAAAAAAAUUAUUUUUCUGC
rnacentral:lncRNA from 1 species